rnacentral:rRNA from 1 species
AUUGAACGCUGGCGGCAUGCUUUACACAUGCAAGUCGAACGGCAGCACGGGGGCGACCCUGGUGGCGAGUGGCGAACGGGUGAGUAACACGUCGGAACGUGCCCAGGUGUGGGGGAUAACCUAUCGAAAGGUAGGCUAAUACCGCAUGAGCUCGGGAGCGGAAAGCGGGGGACCGGUAACGGCCUCGCGCGACUGGCGCGGCCGAUGUCCGAUUAGCUAGUUGGUGGGGUAAAGGCCCACCAAGGCGACGAUCGGUAGCUGGUCUGAGAGGAUGAUCAGCCACACUGGGACUGAGACACGGCCCAGACUCCUACGGGAGGCAGCAGUGGGGAAUUUUGGACAAUGGGGGCAACCCUGAUCCAGCCAUGCCGCGUGAGUGAAGAAGGCCUUCGGGUUGUAAAGCUCUUUCGGUGGGAACGAAACGGGGCGGGUGAACAACGCGCCUCAAUGACGGUACUCACAGAAGAAGCACCGGCUAACUACGUGCCAGCCGCCGCGGUAACAC